rnacentral:rRNA from 1 species
UACGUAGGGUGCGAGCGUUUGUCCGGAAUUAUUGGGCGUAAAGAGCUUGUAGGCGGUUUGUCGCGUCUGCCGUGAAAAUCCGGGGCUCAACCCCGGACUUGCGGUGGGUACGGGCAGACUAGAGUGUGGUAGGGGAGACUGGAAUUCCUGGUGUAGCGGUGAAAUGCGCAGAUAUCAGGAGGAACACCGAUGGCGAAGGCAGGUCUCUGGGCCAUUACUGACACUGAGAAGCGAAAGCAUGGGGAGCGAACAGG